CAGUCGCGUUUGCCGGGACCCAGCCUUGCUUCUGCUUGGUGCGCUUCUCGGUAGAUGGGCCAGCAUCGAUUUCGGAUGCCGGAAAAUGACUUGAGGAAUGUGGCGGCUUGCUGUGUUAUAGCCUCUUGUUGUACACGGUGUCGGGGAUCGAGGACUGCAGCACGCCUUUGGUCGGGGUUCGCCACGCCACGUGCCUUAGGAUGGCUGGCAAAACGGCUUUAAACGACCCGUCUUGAAACACGGACCAAGGAGUCUAACAUGUAUGCGAGUGUU
rnacentral:rRNA from 1 species